GUUGUUCGGAAUUACUGGGCGUAAAGGGCUCGUAGGCGGCCAACUAAGUCAUACGUGAAAUCCCUCAGCUUAACUGGGGAACUGCGUGUGAUACUGGAUGGCUUGGAUUUGGGAGAGGGAUGCGGAAUUCCAGGUGUAGCGGUGAAAUGCGUAGAUAUCGGGAGGAACACCUAUGGCGAAGGCAGCUCGCUGGGACGUUACUGACGCUGAGACGCGAAAGCGUGGGGAGCAAACAGG
rnacentral:rRNA from 1 species